rnacentral:tRNA from 1 species
GCAUUGGUGGUAUAGUGGUGAGCAUAGCUGCCUUCCAAGCAGUUCGAUUCCCGGCCAAUGCA